GCAGCAUCCUCUGGCAUUUCUCUCCCUCUUUCUGCCUUUCCCUGUCCCUCUUUCUUCCGCCCUCUUAAGGCCUCGACAUGAUUUAGUUCGAAGUCGGCUCGGCGAACCGAACAAGUGUGUUCGCAUACUCCCUUAAAAGACCUUCGCUUGGAAAACCUGAAAAAAAGCGGCGAUAAUACCAGUAUUUUUCAAUGAAAGAAUGUGCAAGAAAACGAGUCGUCUCUCAUUGAAUGACAACAAAGACUUAAUUGAAGAAUCUCUACUGUUGACCAAUCACCGACGAAGGGUCGUCGACUUCGGCUACCGACUUCGGCCCGCCUCAAUCGUUUGGCGUGUGCGCCCGAACAGCCCGAAAAAACCCUUAACGAAGUCCAAAAUUAACAAAAUUCUCACAAAAUGGCGCCAUAAUAUAAGCACAAACAGUUCCAAACUGUUUCAGCUGGGAAGCAUGCGGACGUAUUUCUUCCUUCCCUCUCUCUUUCCCCCUUUUCUUCCCGUGUUGCUCGGUUGUGUGCAUUUCCCUCACUCGCCCUCUUAUCUUGACCUUGAUGACUAUCCCGCUGUAUCCUUGAUCCUCCCCGACCCUGCCCCUCUGUACUUCCUGAUUUACUCUUCCGUGUGCACCGGAAUGUUCUCCUGAACAAUACGACAGCAGCAGCAACAGGGUGAGCCAGCGCCUCCAUCGAGCAGAGCAGCCGUCGCUAUUAACCCCGAAAGUGUGCUGGGAACCCCUGCAGAGAAGGGUGGGCAGCCCCAUUCAUACUCAAACACUGGGAGCCUACCCCGGCCAAACCUGGACGACACUGGGCCAAUUGUGCGCCGCCCUAC
rnacentral:lncRNA from 1 species